GUGUCAGCAGCCGCGGUAAUACGAAGGGUGCAAGCGUUAAUCGGAAUUACUGGGCGUAAAGCGUGCGUAGGUGGUCUUUUAAGUCCGUUGUGAAAGCCCUGGGCUCAACCUGGGAAUGGCAGUGGAUACUGGAAGGCUGGAGUACGGUAGAGGAGGGUGGAAUUCCCGGUGUAGCGGUGAAAUGCGUAGAGAUCGGGAGGAACAUCAGUGGCGAAGGCGGCCCUCUGGACCAGUACUGACGCUGAGGCACGAAAGCGUGGGGAGCAAACAGGAUUAGAUACCCCCGUAGUCC
rnacentral:rRNA from 1 species